CUGGGCAGUCCUGAAUGUGAAAUAGCAACAUCAGACCUCAAGGUCAAACAGCAAGAUCAAUCCUCAAGGUCAAGUAGCAAGAUCAAUCCCAAAGGUCAAACAGCACGAUUAAUCCUCAAGGUAAAACAGCAAGAUCAAUCCUCAAGGUCAAACAGCAAAUGUUAGCAUCCACUGAUGUCUUUCUGCUUCUUUCUAUGGAACCGAGUCUCUACUGGGUCAAACCCUCUCUCUGAAGCUCCAAACACUGCCCAGUGUGGAGUUGGGGCCAUAUAGUCCUCUGCAGUAAAUGUUUUCUGGCCUCCUGAUUGGUUGUAUU